rnacentral:lncRNA from 1 species
UGCGCGCGUACAUGACCACGAUCAGCGCCAGCGGCGCCAGGUAGAUAUGCGAGAAGAGCACGGCCGUGUAGACCUUGCGCAUGCCCUUCUCGGGCCAGGCCUCCCAGCACGAGUAGAGCGGGUAGGAGCGGUUGCGGGCGUCCACCAUGAAGUGAUGCUCCUCGCGCGUGACGGUCAGCGUGACGGCCGAGGGGCACAUGAUGAGCAGGGCCAGCGCCCAGAUAACCGCGAUGGUGACCAGCGCCUUCCGCAGGCAAUGGCCACCAGCGUGAAAACGGAAGCAGACACAGACAUGCCCUGCACCAAGCCGCUCAUCUUGCACGUGGCGUUGUCGAAGGGCCACCCUGCAAUGACAGAGGCCACCACAAAGUGAGAGAUGCCUCGUCCACAAAGAGCCAGAGGCCUGCAGCCAUCUGGGCCAGUCCCCUCUGUGGCUUGUAUCUUCCCUCCAGUCGAGCUAGGUUGUCAUUCUACCUCUGCUUACGCGCUUCCAGGAGUGAGGAGCUGACCAGCCGGUACCUCUGUGGACAGUCCUACUAGAGACAGCCUUUAUACUGACCAGCAAUUUUUCUCCAUGAGCUUUAGAUCCAUCCAGCCCUGCCUGGAUUUCUGCUCCCAUAGCCCAGCUUCAAGUUUUAGGCCAGUAGUUCUCUCCUGGCUGCUCACUAGAAUCAACUGAGAGU